UUUCUCAUACAAAAUUCAGUUUACUAAUACUUGAUAAUGGGAAAGGACAAAAAAUAUGAAUUGAAAUAGGGUUUUCUAGUAAAUCACAGUGCAAACUGAUCUUAGAUUUUAUCUAUCUGAAGUCAAAAUUCUUUGGCUGAAUAGAAUGGGAGAGGUGGUUUUGAGAACCACUGGCAGGCUUUAAAAAAGAACUCAAACUGCAAACUUACUAAUUAAUGUUAGACAUGCUAAAGAGGUGACAUUUAUGAUGAGCUAUCGUGCAGUUGUUAUUGGAGAUCAGACCACAGUCAGAACAACUGUCCAUCUGAUUGUAUCAGUGUCUCAGUGCCUCUCCAUUUGAUCUUGUUAGCAGCCAGUGUUUUUAGUAGGGCAACAAGCUAUUAGUACUUCCUUAACCUCAUGUUAUGUUCCCUUAAGUUUGAAAUUUUUCAAAUUCAGAUCGAAUUCAAAAUUAAAGAUUGAAUUAUUUUAAGUUUAUAGAAAUCUCAAAAUUGUUUUUUUUCCAUGUAUUGGCUUAAUCUUUGAUGGCUGCUGGUAUUUUUGAUAAUGAGCAGAUUCUGAUGAAUUUAUUGAGGUUUUAAUAGAACCACUACAUUCUUUAUUAAAACGGUUAGAUGAUUAUUCAAAUAAUGGUGACAUUGUUGAUUCAAGAGUGUAUUCAUGGGCUUUAGCUAGAGCAUACCUAUGAAAUAAUCCAAAUAUAGUAAGGAAUUAUUUGUUUUAAGUUACCAAGCAAACUAAUAUAGUGAAAGUUAUGAGGGGCUCACACAAGUAGACACAGAUGUACAAGAAAAUCAAAGAAUUCACUUCAACUGAAAUAUAGUUUAUUUUGUUCCCACAUUAUAUUAAUUCUAAAUAAUGAAUCAAACUCACUCAACAAUAAAAUACAAUUUUUUAAAAA